rnacentral:SRP_RNA from 1 species
UGCAGCCGGGGAAUUAGCGGAGCCCUGUACCUGCAAUCCGCUACAGCAGGGGUGAUGCCAAACAGAGGGAACUUCACUGGUGGAGCUGCCCUUUUUAAGCAGUGAUGACGUCCGGGUCUUUCGCAACGGAACUCCGUGAACCGUGUCAGGGUGGGAACACAGCAGCACUAAGCGGAUCAUUUCGUGUGACGAGAGGGCGCCUGGAUCGAGCCGGCUGGAAAGGUAACGUCUGUUGGUGAUUCACGACGGGCGGCGCAC